rnacentral:tmRNA from 1 species
GGGGGCGUACCGGUUUCGACGGAAGUAUUCGCGCUUAGAAGGCAUGCCGGGGGUCCACACCACCCGUAAUCGGAGUGGAACAAUACAACUGCCAACACGCAGUUUGCACUCGCUGCCUAAUUAGGUAGCGCGUCUCCUCCGUUCGGCCCGCAGGGCGGAGGCAGAUGCCAUUUUGGUGGGCUGGCUUGGGACCCGCCGCCUGAGGGUUCCGGGCGAGACUCCUGCGCAAGCGGGAGGAUCAGGCUAGCCGGCGGCUCGUUAUUGCCCGUUCCUUAGGGCCGCCGACGAAGGCGUGAAGCGAACGGGCUAAGCAUGUAGGCUUCUAAGGGCGGCGCUUUUCGGACGGGGGUUCGACUCCCCCCGCCUCCAUUG